rnacentral:tmRNA from 1 species
GCCCUUGCCGCCCCGCCUGCCCCGAGCCUAUAUUUUCCGUGCCGGGCAACCGGCUAUGGCGAUAAAUGCCCUGUGGAAUAGGCGUGACGGACCCGGGGGCAGUACCCGGCGCCUCCACCAUUUCCCGUCCCUCGCGAGCGAUUCCCGGGGACGGGCCUUAAGGGGGCGAACUAGGCUCGACGUGCGCGGUAAAGGCAGGACUUUCGCCCGGUAUGGUUCCGCCGUGACGGGCCAACGACAAAUGCCAACGACAACGUUGCAUUUGCUGCUGCCGCUUAAUCAGCGGUAACGGGGUUCGGGGGGCACCUGGCAACAGAAGCCCCCCACU